rnacentral:lncRNA from 1 species
CCCAAUAUGACUUUAUUUCCCGUCCUUGUCUAGCCCUUAGACCCCAGUACUGAGGGAGGGGAAACAGGCGCUCAAGCACCCCCUCGGCCCCAGGACACAAGGAUCCCCUCCAGCCCCUCAUCACUCCCCAAGACCCAGCGAGAAGCCCCGGCGGGGCGGGGCGGGGCCUGGACACGCGCCGGCACGCCCAGCAGGUGGCAGCAGCGAGCUCGUGGAUGGCGAGCGCUCCUAUUUCGCUUUGCUCGCCUCGGAAUUCGAGACCCCAGACGAGGACCAGGAUUCAUGAACCGGUCGCAGGGGCCCGGGCAGGGGCCUCUGGCUCCCAACGCUGGCCGAGAGGCGUAUUCCAGUCACUGAAGGUGCCAUACCUCCUGUGGUUUCCUGAGGCCCACACAGAGCACGGCCUGGUGCCCGCUGGCGGGCUUCUGGGCCCAUCUCAUGAAACGUCUGCGUCGUCCUCCAUGAAGGUGGUCACCUGAAGUCUACACUGUUCUCUGCCUGAUCACACGUCUCCUUCAGGCCCGUGUCCCCUGUAGCGAGCCAGCCAUUUAGAGAGCUACCUCCUCAUUCUCACUUAUUGAAGGUGUGCUCUGCUGCCCACACAGACCAACCGAGAGCAGGUGACAGAGAGCAACAGAUUCACAGUGGGACACCCCCUUCCCGCCUGGCCUCCAUGCUGUCCUUGGCCCUGUCUUCUGGUCUGCACAGAAAAACCGACGACAUAAGUAUUGGCAAUGAUAUAGCAAAAACCUUGCUCCCGAUUUGACAUGUUCUUACUUCUCAAUAAUAAAGUGGCUCAUCAGAGUUGGAGUCAGAGCCCUCGGUUCAAAUCCUGGCUCUGUCAGUUUCAAGCUAUAUUCUCUUAGGAAUACUUACUCCUAUGUAAAAAAACCCUAUUAGUAGUAUUAUUCAAUAGGCAUAAUAAAAAGGCUUUCCUCACAGAAUAGCUGUACAGAUUUAA